CUUUGACAGAAAAAGAAGAAACCCUCUGAGCGGGCCUUCCUGUUAAACUCAGGCAUUGCCCACCCCUGCCCCGUGAGGGUGAUGCUCCAGGCAGUGAAUACAUUCGCGAGCCGUGUUUUCCUAAACGUGCGUGUGGCAGGGUCGGAGGAAGUCGGCUGCCAGCCAGAGCCGGUUCCCGUGCAAGGUCCUGGAAAUGCGCUUGUAUGUGCCGGCAGGACUCCGACCGGUGCAAGCAGGUAAGUGCCUCCCCUGCCCCCACAGCAGGUGUGUUCCGGGGUGUCUGAUCCCCUCGUCAGGGAGAGGAGCCGGAGGAGCAGCCCAGGACCCCGCUCGCCCCUGCCCGGUGCCCGCUGGGCUCCGACCCCCCGCGGGGAGGGUGCAGGCACCGUCCAAGCCCCGCAGCCCCCGGGACUCGCCCUCUCUGCCAAAGCCGGGACACGGCGGUGGCCCCACGGCUCCCGCUGGGGCUGUUGGAGUGUGCCAAGCAGCCACGCAGGCUCCUUCCUUCGGGGCUGCCACCGACCCGCGGACCUGCAGCCGCUCCUCUGCCUCAGGAGCUGGCUCCUGCAUGAGCUGCGGCAUCUCCUUGGGACUGGGCGAUAGCUGCGGCAGGAGCUGCAACACGAGCACGAGGGACGGAGCAUGGGAGUGAGCUGCCCGCCGUCUCCGUUCUGCUGGAGGCCCACCCUGCCUCGGGGUCCCAGGUGAUGCUCCUGCCCCUGGGACAACUUGUCUGCCAGGUCGGACAGACACCAGAAGCACCGAUGCAGACACCCCACCCAGCGAGCAGGGCUGUUAAUUCUCCGUGCUGCUACCCCGGGCAGAUGAGGCCUCUCUGGGGCAGGUUGGCUCCCAGCCUUCCCGGGCAGGGCGCCGCUCAGCACAGGCGGGAGGGACCCUGCCCCAGGCCCCCCCAGUCCCCAGCGCCCAGCCUGGGCUGCUCGCCCCCCAGGUCGGGAGGGGAAUGGGCAGCACCCGCCUGCGUGGGGGCCCCAACGCGGGGCUUGCCACUGUCAGGAAAUUUAUGAACAAUUCAUAAAUGUGUUUUACAGACAGCUGUUAGUAUGUGCUGAGCAAUACUCAUUCUGUCAAAGAAAACUAGUUACAGGGUUAUAACCAGGCCACUUAAAUAUUAUGAUCCAUAAUAUAUAAAUAGUGGUCCAAGCGCUGCUGCUGCUUUGUGCCACAGAGGGUCCUGUGCACGCUGCAAUCCUGCGCCGGCUGCCGGUGUCUGCAAGCCGCGCGCUCGCACAGACGCUCAGCACUCCUAAAAGCCACUUUCUGCCCCAUCCUGGGGCCACACCGCGCGCUGGCUCAGGGAGCUGCCGGCCGGCCGCUGCGGCGGGAGGGGGCUGAGGCGGGGGGUGGGCACCCCGGAGCUGUGCUGCCAGCCGCGGGCUCGCGCCUCAGGGCUGCCACUGGAGAAUUGCACGCGUUGCCCCCGAGCCCCGGACGCGGUGGUGCUGUGUGCCAUUUCCCUCUUCAGCUUAAAUUCAGAAAUGAGGUGUGUCAACCUUGGCCGAAGUCGCAUGUUUCUUCAGUGUCACGGCCAAACCAAACUGCGAGGGACAGGAGGAAGUGUCAGUGCUGCUGUGGCAAGGAACCAAAAGCAGAGCCCGGCGGUGAGCGAGGGCCGCCGGGCUUUCAGCCGAGGUGUGCCUGGUCCAGGCGGUGAGGAGCUCUGCUUGGGCUGCAGCCUGGCCUGCCAGCCGUAACACGCACCGAGGAGCAUCAGCCAGCCUGCCAAAACUGAGGAGGACUGCAGUAGUAAAACAGUGAGCUAUUUUCCCUGCAGGAAAUACUACACAGCCUUGUUGAACGAGAACAAAAGAUUAAACUCAAAGUAAAAUGAAAUGCAAAAA